UCCUCCAUGAAAUUAGAUGAAGACCCGCUGCCUACCCCAACAAUUCCCCCUUUUUGUAUUUGUGCUACAAAUAUUGCAUGAGCAGCCUUCUGCAGGGCCCUUUGCAGGAGACUGAAAAGACAUGGCAACAUUAAAGCACACUUAUGAUGACUAACAGGAUCAUUCCAGUGGUUCUGAUCAAAGAGAUCAGCCAGCCCGAUAACCCCCAUCCUUUAAACAACUUUGUUAGCCAAUCGAGACCAUCAUCUUCUGUUAAAUGCUUAACACCAUCUUUUAACUGUUGUAUGCUCUUAUGGAUCGAUUCAGAAUGAUCUGCAGUUCCUGGGGAAACCUGGUUGCAGCGAGGAUUUAGAGUACCUUUCCUUAAAAGUUGGAAAUCCUACGCGAUGCGUCCAUCCAUAGGUGAGGCAUCCAGCAUCGCUGCAAGCAGAUCCAGUCUCUAAAUCAACAGGCCAAAAUAACUGGCAAUUUUCUUUGUGCAGAAACAUCUGAUUUCAUCCUCCUGUUGGGUUCCACCCAGAGCCUGGCCACCGCUCAAGGGGGAAAACCAAAGGAGUUUCUAAUAAGGUUAAACACUUGAGUUCUUAAUUCUUGAUAUUGGUAAGCAAAGUUAGUUGAAAACACACAUUCUUACAGCAUUUCAUCCUUAUUAAUAACUACAUUCCAUCUAAACUCCAUCUUUCACUAGUGACUGGUAAGCCUAUAUAUCUCAUUAAGGAGUUGCAAUUACUGUUAGCAUUUUCUCUUAAAAGAAUUGGCAACUGUAGUGUAGUUUGUUCUGUUGCAGUAGCAAACAUUACCCAGACA